GAAGGGAUCAGAGGUUGUGAGCCUCCAUGUGGGUGCUGGGAAUCAAACCUCGCUCUUUUUUUUAAAAAUACACUUUUACUAAAAUAGGAAUACAACAGACACCUCCAUAAAAACCGACUGAAGAUCACAAACCUUCCUAUAUUUACUUUUUGCCUCUUGUCCUAGAUUUAUUCCAUAAUUGGUAACACUUUUCAAAUAUUUUAGAUCUGUUUUUCAAGUAAAUAACCAGUCUUCCACUUGGGGCCUGGCAGGAGCUAAAUGUAUGCUUCUGCCCUGAGAGAUGUGUUAGUGUUGUGUGGUAAGGAGUGUGGGGCUCACUUAGCCAGCUGGGUCUUCUGUUAGCUUCAUAAAUGUGGGCUCUUGACUUAAUCUCAGGUUAUCUGUCUACAGUGUAGGGAUGAAGCUGGAGUGAGCACAGGUUACCUAUCUACAGCAUAGGGGUGAAGCUGGAGCGAGCACAGGUUACCUACCUACAGCGUAGGGGUGAAGCUGGAGCGAGCACAGGUUACCUAUCUACAGCGUAGGGGUGGAGCUGGAGCGACCACAGGUUACCUACCUACAGUGUAGGGGUGAAGCUGGAGUGAACACAGGUUACCUAUCGACGUUGUAGGGGUGAAGCUGGAGCGAGCACUAGUUCCGUGUCUGGCACUUCACACUCAGUAAGUUGAUGCAGUUACUGGUUUUCUCAGCUGAUAGGGCUGAGAUCAUGGAUCGUUGAGUCCGCGAGAAGUUCUUACUCUCCUGGUUUGGAAUAAGGAUGUGCUUAGUGCAGAGAAAUCCAGUAAAUGAUCCAUAGGAUAACCUUAUGGGAUUUGGGGGGGGUGGAUGUCAUUAUUAACUAUAUAGAAGUAGGUGAUGUUCUGCAAAAGUAUUUGAUUUAAGGGACUGGUGGUGAAAAUGGUUGUCUAGGCCUCGGGUAUGAUCCAUAGCACUGCAGAAACCUGGCUGAGAGUACACUUGGGUCAUGGAGUUGGAAAGGGUAGCCUGAAGUCCUACUGAGGAGCAGCUCAUUGGGCUUCAGUUAUGUAAACAGCAGUGGCAAGAUGAUGAGUAGAAAUAAUUGAAUUUGGAAGCUUGACCUCCAGCCCAGGCUAACACUGCAGCCAGGAAUGAAAGCAGUCUCCAGCACACAGUUGAGAUGAACUUUAGGGCUAGUUGGCAAAACUUUCAAAACAACAGGUUUCAACACUGGUACACUGUUGUAAAAGAUUGAUUUUCCUCUCCACGCCCGUAGCCUUGGGGUGCUGACUCAUCCCUGUGUACUGGGAUACGUGCCGCUACAGCUGGUGUCUUCAAGGGACACCAUGUGGGUGUCCCCUUCAGGUCGUUUUAUUAAAGCUCCGAAAUGACCACUA